rnacentral:lncRNA from 12 species
GUACUUGCAAAUAGGCUUACUCCCUUGCAUAUCAUCAAAUUGCAUUCCAAAGAAGAGGAGUGUCCUAAAAAUUCUGUUUACAGAGUAUCACAAUAUUAUUUUUAAAAAUGAUUACAUAUUUACUCAUGUGAUAUCUCCUCCUUCCCAAGGGCCUAUGAUAUAAUUCUGACAUAAUAGACAAACUAAACUGUGCUAUCAGAUUGGUAAGUGAUGAGUUAAUUAAGCCUUUUUCAAACUUUGUGUACUACCUAGAUUAAAUUUCUCUAAGCCUCAAUUUCAUUACGUAUAAUUUCUUUUUUGCAACCACUUCACAUAUUUGUGGCAAGGAGUAAAUGGAAUAAAAUGAAAUUACUUAGCCCUUUACUUAGCCUAUUGCAGUUGUGUGCAAAGAAGCCAACUCCCUUCACUUAUUAUUUCCAACUAGUGUAGGAAUGCAUUGGAGUCAUUUUUAAGCAUUAUCUAGAAUUACCCAUUAAGUUUGGAACAUGGGCAAAGUACUGGGAGGCUACUGUGUUUGGGUUUUAUGGAUUGUGUAUCAUUUUUUUUAAGAUUUUUAAUUUAUUUAUUCAUGAGAUACACAGAGCACAAAAGAAAGUGGCAGAGACACAGACAGGGAGAAGCAGGCUCCACGCAGGGGGCCAGACGUGGGACUUGAUCCCCAGGUUCCUAGGAUCACAACCCGGGCUGAAGGCGGCGCUAAACCACUGAACCCCCCCGGGCUGCCCGUGUAUCAGUUUUUUAAUGUCAUAAUAAUUUUGCGUAACAAAGUAUGUCGACACUCAGUGGCUCAAAACAAACAUUUAUUUGGCACACAAGAUAGCAGUUCAAUAAUUAAUGCUGGACUAUCUUUUGGUCUUGCAAGGGCUCAUUUACAUGACUGGGGAUGCACUGGUUACAAGUUGGAAGGAUAGAGUUACUUGGUUCUGCACUCACAUCCUUCCAGCAGACGAAAUAGGCAAGUUCUUAUGAAAAUAGCAAGAAUCCAAUAUGAUGAGACUACUUCAGUGGCUGCUGCUCCUUUGAUCAAAGUAAGUCACAUGUCGAAGCCCUG